GACGAACGCUGGCGGCGUGCUUAACACAUGCAAGUCGAACGGAAAGGCCCUGCUUUUGUGGGGCGCUCGAGUGGCGAACGGGUGAGUAGCACGUGAGCAACCUGCCCUUGACUUUGGGAUAACUUCAGGAAACUGGGGCUAAUACCGGAUAGGAGCUCCUGCUGCAUGGUGGGGGUUGGAAAGUUUCGGCGGUUGGGGAUGGACUCGCGGCUUAUCAGCUUGUUGGUGGGGUAGUGGCUUACCAAGGCUUUGACGGGUAGCCGGCCUGAGAGGGUGACCGGCCACAUUGGGACUGAGAUACGGCCCAGACUCCUACGGGAGGCAGCAGUGGGGAAUAUUGCACAAUGGGCGGAAGCCUGAUGCAGCAACGCCGCGUGCGGGAUGACGGCCUUCGGGUUGUAAACCGCUUUCGCCUGUGACGAAGCGUGAGUGACGGUAAUGGGUAAAGAAGCACCGGCUAACUACGUG
rnacentral:rRNA from 1 species